UAUUAUACUAAUAAACCUAAAUAAACCUAGAUCACUAAUAGAUAUGGUCUUUAAAUUCAAAGAAUUUGGCGGCGAUUUAAUCCUGUUAGAGGAAUCUGUUUUUGAAUCGAUACUCCACGUGGAAUCUUACUCAUUUUAUUUAGUUUGUAUACCGUCAUUAUCAGAUAAUUUUUAAAGGAUUAAAUUAUUAAGGUUUAAAAUAAUUAAUAAAUAGAAAGUAAAAUUAGAUCAAGGUGCAGCUUAUAAGUGAGUUAAAAUGGAUUACAAUAAAAUUUAUUUAGACGGAGUAAUAAUUAGAAGUAAUAUUAUGAAGGAGGAUUUAAUUGUAAUUAGAGUUUAGUAAGCUUUAAAGAUAUAGGCUCUAAAUCGU
rnacentral:rRNA from 1 species